CGCGAAAGUUGGCAAUGCCUCCGGGAGCCUGGAGUCGGAGGUUUGCCACCUUCCGGAC
rnacentral:pre_miRNA from 1 species